rnacentral:rRNA from 1 species
GUGGGGAAUCUUCCGCAAUGGACGAAAGUCUGACGGAGCAACGCCGCGUGAACGAUGACGGCCUUCGGGUUGUAAAGUUCUGUUAUACGGGACGAAUGGUACGACGGCCAAUACCCGUCGUAAGUGACGGUACCGUAAGAGAAAGCCACGGCUAACUACGUGCCAGCAGCCGCGGUAAUACGUAGGUGGCAAGCGUUGUCCGGAAUUAUUGGACGUAAAGGGCGCGCAGGCGGCGUCGUAAGUCGGUCUUAAAAGUGCGGGGCUUAACCCCGUGAGGGGACCGAAACUGCGAUGCUAGAGUAUCGGAGAGGAAAGCGGAAUUCCUAGUGUAGCGGUGAAAUGCGUAGAUAUUAGGAGGAACACCAGUGGCGAAAGCGACUUUCUGGACUGUAACUGACGCUGAGGCUCGAAAGCCAGGGGAGCGAACGGGAUUAGAAACCCUUGUAGUCC